ensembl:lncRNA
GUUGGGAAUUGACGUGAAGGGUCCUCCGAUUGAAGAGAUUGCUGCGGAAGUGCCUGCUGUCGAUGGAGGAUCACUAACAGGAGCGUGGAAGACUCCAGAAUCCACUCUGGCUGGAAUCCGGUGGAUAUGCAGUGUUUACAGGUACAGUACGUGAUAUCAAGGGCAGGCGGUCAACACUGGGGGUAGACAAGAAGCAGACGUACUUCCAAGAGGGAGCUGCAGUGAGGACACAGCCAGGAGGCGCUGGAAGGUUUCCCUAAUAGUUCCUGGUGAAUCAAAGCAGAACCAUAAAGGUUGCUGGACUGCAUGAUGGCCUUACCCCUGAGCAGUCAUCCUGUUAAAGGAGGAACCACUUAGCUGUUUUCAAAGUAGCUGAGCAGAUUUCAUCUCAAGUAAGCGAUUAACUGUUUGUUCAUCUGUUCUGCCACUUAAAGAGCAUUUAAGGACAUCUUUUAAGUGUCCAGUUGAAUUAAUUCUACUGGCUCUCAUGGUCAUUUGUUAUUAUAGCCAUAUUUUUCAUGUUCAUCCAGCUAUUUAGUAAAUUCUAUCUAUUUAGUAAUAUCCGUCAGCUAUAAAAUGUAAUAUAAAUAUAAAAAUAUCUAAAUAUCUCCUGUCCUUUAUGUUUUAAUGAUGUAAGUCUGUUAUCGUGUUUCAAGUCAAGUCAAGUCAACUUUAAUUGUCAAUUCUGCCACAUGUACAGGACAUACAGAGAAUAGAAAUUGCGUUACUCUCAAACCCUAGUGAUUAGAAAAAUGCAAAUAAAAUAAUUUAAAAGUAAAAAUUUAAAUAAAUACAAUACAAUUUUACGUAUAACAAAAAAAAAAAAGCUAUGCAAUAUACAAUAUACAAUAUUCAAGUAAGGAGGCAUAGUGGUGCAAAAUAGGCAAAUAGUGCAAAUGGAGAUUUACAUUAGCAUUCCUCACAUAUCAAUGAGAUGCUGUACAGUACAAUCCUACUGACACAGCAGAGGGAUAACGACGGCUAUUCAACAUCGUUACACGACACAUUCGAGCUGCAUGACACAGACAAAGUGACUAAAUCAUCUUUUUUGUGGUUUAUUGUCUUCAAACCAGCAGACAAAGCCGAUUGCAGAAGAUGUCGGAGAAGAACUUCAGGCCGUGUACUGAAAAGGUAUUUUUUUCUUGUUAUCAAAGACAUUUGGAGUGACGGCUUCUACAACUGGUUGUGCUAAAGUAACGCUUACAGUCUAAGAAAUCAUAGUGUUGAUAUUCAGCACAAAGAGAAAAGCUCACUUGUUUGAAUUUAUUUACAAUCAUAGUUUUAUAAAUUCUGAAUGUAAACAUCUUUUACAGCUUUGAUAUUGUUUGACACUAGAUAUCAGGUUUAAUUUAAAGGUUUCUGUGUCCCAAUGAGCCAUUUACACUGAUCAGUGUCAGUUUAACUGUAACACAUUCAUUAUUUAGAUUCAACAAAGAAAUAACUGAAUGUAAAAAUGGCAGCCCACAGGCCAGGUUUAUAGAGAUAUAUGCAUGCAUUAUGAAAUUUAUAUAUCCCAGAUAAUUGUUAUUCCUCUAGUCAUGGCAGACCCACCUCUUCCUCCCAAGUUAACUGCAACCCAAAAGAACUAGUGGGGCUAUUUACACACUCACAACCAGUGUGGGGUAAAAAGAGCCACCAAAAAGCUGUCAGCCACAGAUGUGCUAGAAGAGUUAGAAACUCUACUUAUGGAGAAACUUUCUAAGUCUAACAGAGGACAGGUACUCCUGCCCAAAUAACAUGAUAUAACCCCACAUACAGCCCAGCCAUAAAGUGAACCAAGUCAUUUAGUUAAAGACAGCAUGGGACCAAAUGCAUGUAACCAGCCUGCACCAACCUGGCAUUUCUUCCUCCUGAAUUAAAUGAAUGAAUGGAUGAAAGUUAAAUGACUACAAACCUAAAGCCACUAGUUCCCACACUGGAGCUCCCUGACACUGUGUGUUAACCGUAUUUAGCUUGUAUCAACAGUUGUAACAGGCUAAGCCACCUGAGACACUGCAUUGAAUUUGUUCCUGUCUUAAUGAUUUCAGCUCAGAUGUUCUGCUUUUUCAUUUCAGUAGAUCAAAGCAGCUUGUGCUCCUUCUGCUUCCAAUUUAGAAGAAGAAGGCGAAGGCUUCAGCGAAGUGGCGUUCAUGGUCUCAGUGAACAGUCAUGGCCACACACUGCAUGUGGUUUUAAAAGCAACAUGUCUGUUCACCACAACAAUGGAGAUGUGUAAUAUUAGUGCAGCUACGGUUUGUUUUUGAACAUCAGUUCUGUUUUCUACUUUGAUCACUUAGACCAAAAAAGUGUUGUUUUCAGAUUCUUUCUUUUACAUCUAUAAACCACCUGUUCAUUUUUUUUAUUACAAUUAGUUUCACAUGAAUGUUAGUGUUUCCUUUAUGAUCUUUUAAUGCUUACACUACACUGUACAUGUCUACAUUAGAGACAUUUCUGUUACCUGUUUCUGUUGACUCAGAGUUGUGAAAUGUUCUUUUAUUUGAUGCACAAUAUGAAGCUCAUAAUUUUCUUACAAAUAAAACUCUA